AUUGAACGCUGGCGGCAGGCCUAACACAUGCAAGUCGAACGGUAACAGGAAGCAGCUUGCUGCUUCGCUGACGAGUGGCGGACGGGUGAGUAAUGUCUGGGAAGCUGCCUGAUGGAGGGGGAUAACUACUGGAAACGGUAGCUAAUACCGCAUAAUGUCGCAAGACCAAAGAGGGGGACCUUCGGGCCUCUUGCCAUCGGAUGUGCCCAGAUGGGAUUAGCUUGUUGGUGGGGUAACGGCUCACCAAGGCGACGAUCCCUAGCUGGUCUGAGAGGAUGACACGCAACAGGGGAACGGAGACACGGUCCGGACUCCGACGGGAGGCAGAAGGGGGGAAUAUUGAAAAAUGGGCGCAAGCCGGAGGCAGCCAGGCGGGGUGUAGGAAGAAGGCCUGCGGGUUGUAAAGUACUUUCAGGGGGGAGAAAGGGAGAAAAGUUAAUCCCUUUGCUCAUUGACGUUACCCGAAGAAGAAGCCCGGGCUAACCCCGUC
rnacentral:rRNA from 1 species